GUGUCAGCCGCCGCGGUAAUACGUAUGGUGCAAGCGUUGUUCGGAUUUACUGGGCGUAAAGAGUGCGCGGGCGGAUCAUUAAGUCAGGUGUGAAAUCUUCGGGCUCAACCCGAAGUCUGCACUUGAAACUAAUAAUCUCGAGUCUCGGAGAGGCAGGCAGAAUUCCUGGUGUAGCGGUGAAAUGCGUAGAUAUCAGGAGGAAUACCAAUGGCGAAGGCAGCCUGCUGGACGAUGACUGACGCUGAGGCACGAAAGCGUGGGGAGCAAACAGGAUUAGAAACCCCCGUAGUCC
rnacentral:rRNA from 1 species